AUUGAACGCUAGCGGCAUGCUUUACACAUGCAAGUCGAACGGUAACAGGGAGCUUGCUCCGCUGACGAGUGGCGAACGGGUGAGUAAUGCGUCGGAACGUGCCGAGUAGUGGGGGAUAACGCAUCGAAAGGUGUGCUAAUACCGCAUACGUACUGAGGUAGAAAGUGGGGGACCUUCGGGCCUCACGCCAUUCGAGCGGCCGACGUCUGAUUAGCUAGUUGGUGAGGUAAAGGCUCACCAAGGCGACGAUCAGUAGCGGGUCUGAGAGGAUGAUCCGCCACACUGGGACUGAGACACGGCCCAGACUCCUACGGGAGGCAGCAGUGGGGAAUUUUGGACAAUGGGCGCAAGCCUGAUCCAGCCAUGCCGCGUGUCUGAAGAAGGCCUUCGGGUUGUAAAGGACUUUUGUCCGGGAGCAAAUGCUGGUGGCUAACAUCCACCGGAGCUGAGAGUACCGGAAGAAUAAGCACCGGCUAACUACGUGCCAGCAGCCGCGGUAACAC
rnacentral:rRNA from 1 species